rnacentral:piRNA from 1 species
CACGGGGUACGUGGCCUGUGUGUCUGC